GCUCAUCUGAUUUGAGUAAAUAAUGGGACAUGUGUACGUUGGAGGAGAUUUGGGUGAAGUUAUAAAAUCCAGAAAGUAUCGGUAGGAGGUACGCAUGGCACCUCCGGGACAGGGGACGUCUCGGGAGAUAGAAA